rnacentral:pre_miRNA from 1 species
UAGAUUGGAUCUUUAAACUUUUGUUCCUUUUCAUGAGGGUUUGACAAAGAGUUUCUUACAGACAUCUUUGGCAUUCUGUCCACCUCCUCCUGUACAUGUGUGUAUAUAUAUGUGUUUUGUGUGGAAGAAGGAGGUGGGUAUACUGCCAAUAGAGAUCUGUUAGGGUUUCUUCGUAAAACCCUCUUGAUCUAUAUACAACUUUAUCAAUGUCUUGAAUCUG